rnacentral:tRNA from 1 species
GUUUUAAUAGUUGAAUAACAACGGCGGUUUUUCAAGUCGCAGGUUUUGGUAGCUGCCAAGUUAAAAUA